rnacentral:lncRNA from 1 species
CAGUGGCCUUUGAGAAGAAUUCUCUGCAUCAUUUGUAUACAAGGUCCUUUUUCCUUUCAAUGUCAACAUCGUGUCUUCUAGCCAAGCGAUAUGUUCUUGCAGAAACAGGAAGUGUGGCCCAAGUGAGAAAUGAGGGAAUUGAUCCAUAACUGCUAUCAGUUUUUAUAUAGUUGAGCCAUUGUAAUUUAUACAUAAACAUGUUAAAUCUGUAGAAGUGAGUCACGGUGCCAGACCCUCACAAAUGCCGAAUGUCUACGUGGGACCUCUCUUCUUCGGUCCACAUCACAAGAAGAAAAGUCGCUCAAAUGCAGCACGGAGUGGACGUGAAUCUCCGAAAACUCCAUGAAUCAGAGCGACUGCUUUCCCAAUUGCCGGUCUCCCCAUUUGAGGUUGUGAGAUUCCCGUUCUGAAGCUCCUUCAAUUUCCCAGCAUCCAUUUCACUCCUUCAUGGAGAUAACAGACUCACACUGAUACCUUGUUCUCAGAUUUUCUAAUUAGAAAAAGCACAUAUUUCACAAGAAUUGUCCAGCUAACUCACUCCUUAGCCUGGGGUAAGCCACAUACCGCUUUUCUCUUUAAAAUACUCACCUUUCAGAACUCUUGGUAAAUUAUUUAAGAAUAGGAAGGUACCAUGACUUUGGCCACGAGCAGUAUUAUGUAUAAUGUGCAAGUGAAUGCCUUGAGAGCCAUGGUUGCUAAAAACAAAUUUUCUCAGAAGAGAAAAAUGUAAGCAGUUCUUUACAUGAUCGUUAAUUUUGUUUUGCCUAAAUAACAUCUUGUCUUUGUACAGGGAUACAGGAUGUUGCUGAGUAUUUACGGGGGCGAGUGGGUCCUGCUGCCCCACUAUGUGAUCCUGAAUAUCGACAGGGACGUCCACACGGAAGCUGUCCAGGCGGCUCCAGACACAAAGAGCAGAAGAUGGCGGUGCCUAUGCCUUCCAAACGCAGGUCCCUGGUCGUGCAGACCUCCAUGGACGCCUACACCCCUCCAGGUAAGGGACAUGCUCCCCGACGCUGCCUCCUGAACAUGCUGGGUGCCUCAGAAUUGACCACUAGCCCAGUAGUCGGGUUUCUGCCUUCAAAGUCAUGGUGCAGAAAUGCAGAUUUUGUGAACCAGAAGUCCGAAAACAGUGUAUGAAAAGUAACAUUAUGUAUCUGUAUAAAUACACAUUUUUAAGUUUUCCUCAAGAUUCAUACAUACGAUACAUACCAGUAAAAUCUCACACAGUUUUAUUCAUUUAAUUCCUUGUAGGGAAAAGGGAAGAGUUCGUAACCCUCUGGGUGGAAUUGGACUUU